rnacentral:rRNA from 1 species
ACUCAAUAGAUACCCAGGUAGUCCACGCCCUAAACGAUGUCUACUAGUUGUCGGGUCUUAAUUAGACUUGGUAAACGCAGCUAAACGCGUGAAGUAGACCGCCUGGGGAGUACGGUCGCAAGAUUAAAACUACAAAGGAAUUAACGGGGACCCGGCACAAGCGGUGGAUGAUGUGGAUUAAUUCGAUGCAACGCGAAAAACCUUAACCUACCCUUCGUACAUGGAUGGAAUACCCUCGAGAGAUUGGGGUAGGUGCUCGAAAGAAGAACCAUUACACAGGUGCUGCAUGGCUGUCGUCAGCUCGUGUCGUGAGAUGUUGGGUUUAAAGUCCCGCAACGAGCGCAACCCUUGUCAUUAGUUGCUACGAAACGGGCACUCUAAUGAGACUGCCGGUGAC